rnacentral:rRNA from 1 species
UAAAGAUCGCCUAACUCCGUGCCGGCACCCGCGGUAAUACGGAGGAUCCGAGCGUUAUCCGGAAUCAUUGGGUUUAAAGGGUCCGUAGGCGGUCUUAUAAGUCAGUGCUGAAAGCCCAUCGCUCAACUAGGGAACUGCCAUUGAUACUGUACUACUUGAAUUCUUCGGAAAUAACUAGAAUGUGUAGUGUAGCGGUGAAAUGCUUAGAUAUUACAUGGAAUACCAAUUGCGAAGGCAGGUUACUACUAAGUGAUUGACGCUAAUGGACGAAAGCGUGGCGAGCGAACAUGAUUAGAUACCCUGCACCUCCACGCCGUAAACAAUG